ensembl:lncRNA
GCCAGGUAGCGGUCCACGCUGAGGCCGGCCAGCAGCAGGGCGCCCGCGCAGCGCGUGCCGGCCAGCGCGAAGCUGCUGAGCUUGCACAGGCCCUCGCCGAAGGGCCAGCGGCCUCCCCGCGCCGCCGCCGCGGCCCACAGCGGCAGCGUCAACACGAAGCACAGGUCAGCGGCCGCCAGGUGCAGCACGAAGGUGUCCACGAGCCGCCGCGGGCCGCGCCGCUCCACCAGCAGCCGCACCACGAAGGCGUUGCCCAGCAGGCCCACGCAGAAGGCCGCCAGCUUAACUCUUUCGGAAACGUUUUGAAAAUUCUACCUUGCCUCUUUUACCAGCACAGCCACAGGUGCAUCGCAGAAUGUGGACUAAGAACAGCCAUCCUGGCCUUCCUGCAGCAACAUGGUGGUGGCAUUCUUUCCAACCGGGGAAGGACAUUUUCAAAAGUAGAGAAUUCACCUGCGAUCCUGUUAUGCUUAGGUUUCUCUGUUUUGUCCGCUUUCCAUCUCAGAUAUUCUCCACGUAUGUAUUUUUUACACAAUGGUUUCAGAGGCUUAUGUGUAAUCAGGAUGUGCACAGUUUGAGUCUGCUUUUCUCACUUAGUGCAAAUGCGCACUUUGCUAAGUUGCUUAAUUUUCUAAUCCCUUAAUUUUGAAUAUUUAGGUGGUUGGUAGUAUUUUUUUCUUUUCUUUUCUUUUUUUUUUUUUUUUUUUUUUGCUGUUACAGAAAUUUGUCCUAAAUGCACUACAACCUUUUCUCACUGUUUUCAGGGCAUAAAUACCCUCGCGAUGGUCAAAGGCUAUGAAAAUUUUCAUAGUUUGAUACAAAUGCUUGCACUGAGCAGUAAUUAUCAGGCACUGAAGGAAGUCAGAGGUUCGGUGCAAUCUGGUUAGAGAUAUUCAUCAGUAAAAAUGUAUUUUUCCACUUCGCUAGAUUAUGAGAUGAAAUGGUACCUCAUUUUAAUUUACAUUUCCUUGAAAACAGUAAGAUCGGAAAUCUUUCCAAAUGUAAUUCCUCUUAUGUAAACUGCCUAAUUAAUAUAGCCUUCAGAUAUUGAGCUAUUAUUUUAUAUUUCUUUUUUUUUUUUUUGUCUUUUUGUCUUUUAGGGCCUCACCCACAGCAUAUGGACAUUCCCAGGCUAGGGGUCUAAUUGGAGCUGUAGCCGCUGGCCUACACCACAGCCACAGCAACGUGGGAUCUGAGCUGUCUGCGACCUACACCGCAGCCCACAGCAAUGCUGGAUCCUUAACCCACUGAGUGAGGCCAGGGAUCGAACCCGAGUCCUCAUGGAUGCUAGUCGGGUUUGCUGAGCCACGACGGGAACUCCUAUUUUAUAUUUCUUAUUAAUUUGUAUGAACGAUUCAUCCUUGUCACAAUUGCUUCAAAUAUUUUUCCACUCUUCUAGCUAUUUUUAAUUUUUGGUUUUACAUUUUCAUAGUCAAAUUUGUUGGUCCUAGCAAGUUUCAGGGUUUAGAAUGUUACUUUCUUCUUUCUAAAAACAUCCAAUUCUAUUCUUGUUAAAAUUCUGUAUCCUCCUUUUAAAUCCACCUAGAGUGUAAUCUUUUUAUUUAUUUAUUAAAAAAA